CGCGACGCGCUCCGUUUCCAGUUUACAAUCGGCGCCUAGAUGAGUCGUGUCACCCCGCCCGCGACCGGGCCAAUUUUCUCGCGCGACACGCGAAAGUGAAAUCCUCUCUCUCUCCCCUCUCUCACUCUCUCUUUCUCUCUUCCCUCUUUUUUUCCCCGUCGCGACGGAAUUCGCGAGUUGCACAACAUCGACGAAGUUCGCGACGAGUUUUAGAUUCGACGCGCGCGAUCUCUCGCUCCGUGUGAAACAGAGAUUGACGACGCGUCGAGUGCGAGCAACGGGAGCGACUUCGGCCGGAAGCGAAGCGACGACGAAUCGUGUCAAGAUGAGAACGAGGAGAUUCAAGCGAAACAAUUUGUGUGGGCAACUGGACAGUAGCAGGAAGCUCGGUGAAAGCUCUGUCAUGCGUAGAACUUAGGGUUGCCAUAUGUCCUACUUCUCGUCGAGUCCCACAGCAACUCCUGUAUACUGCAAACUCCUGUCAUACGACAUGCGUUUAAAUGUCCUUUGGAAAAUCCGAUUUUACGUAGAAAUGUGCGAACAAAUAUAAAUUUAGAGAUAGAUUCUUUGUCUCGGCUCCUUUCUUCCGCGAUUAUGUAUACUUCUAUAUGCAUUUAAAAAUGUGGCAACCCUAAAAAAAAGUGAAACCGCGAGUGUUCGCGAGUAAUUACGUGAUUUUCGGCGGAAAUGAUCCUCGACAAUCUCACCGCGAUGUCGGCUAUCGAUGAUUUGCUGGACGACGUCCCAUCGAACGGCACCAACGUGACGGAUUUUCCUGAUUACGACAUCAACGAUUCCUUCAGCCACUUCGAAUGGGCGGAACUGGCGCCUGUCCUCGUAGUCUACACCUUGACUUUCUUCCUCGGAUUAAUUGGGAACGUCAUCAUCAUCGCGUCGACCCUUUGUCGGCUCAGGCCGCUACCGGCGACACCGACGAACGUUUUCCUGGGCGGUCUGGCCACGGCAGAUCUUCUGUUAAUCAUCUUCUGCAUACCUGUGAAAAUAGCGAAACUGUUUUCCUACACGUGGACCAUGGGUAUCUUCCUAUGCAAAGCGGUGCAUUACAUGCAGAGCGUGUCGGCUAUCUGCUCGGUCGUCACCCUCACUGCGAUGUCGAUAGAGAGGUAUUACGCGAUAGUGCAUCCAAUGAGAGCGCAGUACAUGUGCACCAUAAGCCAAGCUCGUAAGAUUGUGAUCAUAACUUGGAUCGCGGCGUUUCUGCUGGGAAUACCAAUGAUGUUUACACAGACGCACAAGCAGGUCGGGCUGAGGUGGAUCGCUUAUUGGUGCGUGCGCGACUCCGAGGCCGGGCUCCUGUGGCGGGCCCACGAGGUCUACAUGCUCGUCGUCGUUCUCGUGCUACCGCUGAUCAUCAUGGGGUUCUGCUACACGAGCAUCUGCUGGGAGAUCUGGCGGGUUAUGAAGCGCCGGUAUCACAUGACGUCGCGACACGCAUUAAAUCCAAACAGCGCGGAUACAGAAUCUAUUCCCAUGACACAACGGCAGGGCGGAAACGAGCGGAAAUCGCGCCGGGAUGAGAAAGACGAGGAAUCACGAACAAUGAAGCAGGUGGUGAAGAUGCUGGUGGCGGUCGUUGUGCUGUUCGCUAUUUGUUGGGCCCCGAUGCUCGUUGACAACGUGCUGACUGCUUAUGGCUACUUGCCGCGCAUCAAGGGCGGAAUGCACAAGCAUCUCAAUACCGCGUUCCAGCUGAUGGCCUAUUUUAACAGCUGUAUAAACCCGAUAGUUUACGGGUUCAUGUCAAAGCACUUCAGGGACAACUUCCUGUCGGCUGCCUGCGGCGGAUGGUGGAUUUGCUGCCCUAGGAGAGGCUACCGGCCGUCUGUAACGAGGAACCCAAGUCUCAGCCAGACCAGAACCACCAGCGUAAGGUGGAUCCGUAACUCCUUCGGGGAGUCAAAGUCCCGAAACUCGACCGACCCGCAUCCCGUAGACCACCCGUGACACGCUCGCGGGGUACGCAAGGUUACCCCGGUAGGCGGGCGUGCCCCCGACGAAGCGGGAGAACCCCCGAAAGCCCACGUGCAAGCAUGUGCGACGAAUGUCCGGCUAGGGUAGGCACGAGUGGAGCACGAUUCGAUCGAGAUGGACCUGAUUCUUUCUUCAUCCCCGGACUAGGCCGUCGAGGGAGGUCUCCGUCAGAUAGGAGACUUCCGACAGCGUGACGCGAAUGUAGUCGGGAGAGCACGCGAUUACGCGGGACUUACGAAAGUGGAACGCGCCACGACGACGUCGACGAUGCCUUUUCGCCGGCCACGAACGGACAGCAGCUGUCUGGGAGGAGCGGUCGAUCGAACGCAAGUGAUAGAACUUUACGUGAAUUGAUCGGUGGCGGGCGGGAGAAACUUACCCCUCGCUCUGGGGGUUGUUCAGUGCGCAGGUAAAGUUGCCGAACAGUCUUUACGGUCUACUUAUUACUCGGCCCCGUCGCGCCUCAUAAUGACAGCGUUUAUCGCUCACUCCCGUCCCGUCGUGGGCGGUGGCGGGAUAAUUGGACGUUCGGACGUUGGAUUAUACGGGUUGAUUAAUUGGACAUUCGAACAAUUGGGUCUUUAACUUACGGUUCAAGCCCGGCGCGCUUUAGGUGGGCGGAUAAGGGUGAAGCCCGAGUUGGCCGCCACCGGGGGACACCCACACGGUUUAUAAGGUAACAGGUCAUAAAUACACAUUUGUAUAGAUCCCGCCCGAGACUUAGAAAUCCCGCGAACAUGAUAUCCCGAACUGAAAUUAUCCUCGACGCGGGACAAUCAUGAGCAACGAACCGGACACUCGCUCGAGAAAAGAUUUUCCCGGGUGCCGAUACGCUUCGAAACCUCGAAAUCUUGAAUCUCGAAGUGUAUGUCCCCGUAAUCCGCGAAGAACUACGUAAGACUAAUGUAGGAAAUAAGGUAGAAAGAAAUACCCCCCCGUCGUCCCGGUUCGCCAGACACUCUGUUCGAUCUUGAGAGUUUGUUCCCCACCGUAUAGUGCUCACUACUACCUCUCAGCAAAACUCGAGACUGGACAGUGCACGUAUCGGCCGCGAAACGCCGUCGGCCUGACUCUUUCAUUCAGUAUUUGCGCCUACACAUCCGUGUUAACCAAAGAAAAUGUAGAAUCUAAUGUUUAUCGGUAAAUCGGUUAAAUGUUUAUCGUCGUUAAAAAUACGGACCAAAGUGCGCCGAUUUCAUCGAGAAGUCAUUUCGAUGCUUUGCAAAUGUUUCAAGAAAUACUCGAUACGUUCCAAAAAGAUCCUUUACUUAUACUUGCGCGCAGACGAUAUAAACCGUUAGUCGUUUAUUAGCGAAACAUUUGCGAAAUAUUUUGCAUCGGCGAGUUUUUUGUAGUAAGUAUAUGAUGAAGCUAUCAGAUAUUCGGAUGUCACAUUGAUAUGUAUGUAUACGUGUAUAUAAAUAUAAGUCUCUUGACGUCACAAACAAUUAAUCCCGAGGUCAUGGUACGAUGACAUGAAACUUACGGAUAUUCGGAAAUAUAAGUGGCAUAUCACAUUUGAAGCUCCGAGCCACGUUGCUAAAAAUGUAAUCUCAUUAUAAUUGUAGCUAGAUUAAUAAGCUUAUUCCCGGCAAGUCGGUGCUAGGAGUGAACUUUAGAUGAGUAAUCUCGGUUUGUUACUCAGGAGGAUAUUGCAUUUUCUCUUUUUUUGUGCUCUCACGCUCUUAAUUAAAAUCUAAUCUAAUUAAAAUGUAAAAUAUCAGGCUAUGAUUACGCCUAUUAUUAUUAUUAUUAUUAACAUCUAUUUGUUAUCUAUUAUUAUUGAUACUGCUAUUAAUAUUAAAUAGAUAACAAUACAAUUAUGUUCAGUGUGUUACAAUUUAAUUAACAGUAAUAUUAGUAAUAAAAUAAUGAAAUAAUAAUAAUAAUAAUAAUAAUAAUAAUAAUAAUAAUAAUAAUAAUAAUAAUAAUAAUACAGGCUAGUGUAUUAAAAGACUUUUUAAUAUACAACUCUAAGCGGGACGUCCGUCCAGCGGUAAACGUAGAUGGGCUCUCGAUUAAGUAAGUCACUUUGUUCAAAAAAACUGGGGAAACAAAGUCGCUAAUCAAUGUAUAAAAGUUACGUAAAUAAGUAAAUGAAUAAAUAUUGUUUAGACGCUUUAGACUUGACGAACGUGUGACAUCACGUGAUUUUAAUGAUUCUGUGCUUGUCGGAUAUCGCUAAGUGCCAUAAGAGUAGAGUAGAAAUUUUGAAUUGAUAUGAAGGGAAAAGGUUAUAACGAGAGAUAUUAAACGCACGACUAGUCCACUACGACAUUUGUUAGCAUACUCUGUCAUGUUAUAUAAAAUUAGGAUCAUUUGCGCAGUGUGUUAACAGCUUCUGUCAUUGCAUCUGUGUGUUUGGACGAAAGGAUGAGAAUCACAAAUAUUUUAUUAAAAUAAGUACCGGUAAGAGAGCUUUGAAAUAAUAAUUAUAUAUCGAAAUAAUUAUAUACGAAAGUUAUAUUUUUGGAUAUUAAGAUUUUUUCGACAUUACUCGAAGGAUUAAUUGUGAUAUAACUUAUAAUUUCUAUAACCGCCUUCCUUUUGUUAUAAACACAUGCAACAAAGACAUUUUUUUAAUAGUAAAUCAUUUGACAGACUGAAUUAACAACGCAGAGAUAAUUUAAUUAUCGGAAUCAUCGAAGAAAAAACGGUAUUAAAUGGCAAUUUUUAGGAUUAUUAAGAUACUUGCUGUAAUUGAUGUAUUAUAUCAGUAAUGAUGAUCAGUCUAUCGAUGAUGAACAACAAUGAAAGAUGUAUUAAAAUAUUAGUAUCAGUUUUCAUCUGCCAAGGAUUGUAAUUAAUAGGAUUAAAAUAUAAUGUAUAAGGAUAAAAAUAUUUCUUGAUACAAAAAGGUUCAGAGUAGAAGUUUAACAUUUUAAUAUUAUUUGAUACAAUUCUUUCUACAAUCCAAUUUAAAGUUUGAAAAAAAUUCGAAAACAAAUUCAAGUUUAUUGCAUACAAUUCUAUAUUUCAUAGAAAGUAUUAUGUAAUUUUAUAUUUUUAUAUUUUAUAAUUUUAUAUUUUUAAAAUAUUUUUAAAAAUAAUAAUAUAUUAUAUAUAUAAUAUUUUAUUAUUUUUUUAUAAUACAAUCACUAUAUUCGUGACUUGUAGUAAUUUGUUUAUGACAUUUUUCGGGUUUAUUAUCUAUAUAUUUUUUCGAUCUUUUCGAACAAAUUCUAUAAGUGCAAUAUGAAAAGGAUAUAUUUUUAACAUUGAACGUGAGAGCCUUGGUGAUGAAAGCUCGAUCUUUAUACGUGUACAGUAAUUAUAUUAAUUAAAUCUAUACAGCGAAGAGUUUUAUAUUUUCCACAGGAACAAUGCGUGCGUAUUUUGGCGCAUGGGUUAAUAGCGAGUACAAACUGUACAAUCCGUACGAUUAGACCACGAUGUUAUAAACGGCUUUAAAUGUUUAAUUGCGUACUAGUCAAUCUUCUUCUAGUAUGAUACUAUCUAGAUAUGGCAGCGAGUAAGUAAUUAAAUAAAAUCAGAACAAUCGUUCCUAUCUGUCCCCGGAUUUACUCAAAUUCGGAAAUUCCGUCUCUUGUUCCUUUUUAAUCCUUACUCUACAAACAUUUCUUGUUCGAUAAAUUUUGAUCCAUGGAAAUUUCUUCAAGACACAGUACGUACAUUUGUUCUAGAAACUUGAAAAUAAACUUAUAAACUAUUUAUAACUAUAACUUUUAGAAAAUUUUUUAAUUACUUUAAACAAAUGAAAAAAUAAUGUUUGUAUAAAUCAGAUAUCUUUUUUAUAUUGUGUUGUAAGGAUUAAGAUUUAAGAAUUUGAUCGUAAAAUCUUAUCGAUCAUUUGCCACACUCCAUGUAAUGCGCAUAAUAAUCGACUUAUAACUUCCAGCUAUGCAGUUGAUAAAUUAUGAAGUAACAAUGUCUCAUGUCAAGUUAUGCGGACAACGGGGACAUCCGAUCAAUCGAGCGCUCACGUUGCCCCAAAUAUUCAACACGUUUAUAAUUAAUUAAGCUGGAAUUCAUUUAUGCGUGGAAUUUAUCAUGCGGCAACCAUCGCAUCUCAUGUUAUCUAUGAUGAGGCAAUCAAACGGACGAGGAGACCGGGGGAGAAGGAUUUACGUUAUGAUUAUUCAUGUUUCGUAUCGUGUUUGCAUGCUCCGCUUGCCGGUUACCCUAAUUAUGCUGUGCCGAAAAGCUGAUAUCGCGGAGAGAGUAUCUAAUUCGGCAGAGCGAGAGAGAGAGAGAGAGAGAGAGAGAGAGAGAGGGAGAGAGAGUGCCUAAAGUGAUACAUUCGGCCGUUUGUUACGAUAAUACACACGGUGUUUCGGAAUAAAAGCACACUAAGUAUACAGUCCGUAUAAAUUACCACGCGGGAUUCCGUCGCAAAGCAAACGGAGCACGAAACGGAUGUCAACAGUAGCGAGGCAAAUGGCCAGGAACCAGUUGCGGCGAAAACCCGAUAUCCCGGACAGAACGGAGAAACGCGCGAUUUCGCAGUGGUUGGCGGAGAGAAAGAGAGAGAGAGAGAGAGAGAGAGGGAGAGGGAGAGAUCGACGUCGCGUCACUUGGGGCAACGCGUGGAAAUCUCGCGUGACCGCCGGCCAACAAGAAGCCGUUUGAAAUAUGGCACGACGACGUGACCCGGGAGCCAGAAAAUGUAAGUGAUGUAGCUAAAUCACGGGGCGAACGGAGAAGGAGCAAAGCCGCGCAAUCCUAAUCAUAUCGUAUUGCAAAGAAGAGACAUCGGAACGUCCACUCGACGGGAAAUGACGACAAGAGCGAUGAAAGCAAGCGAAUGGUUAAAGAAGAGGGAAGAAAAACGGAGAAGGGUUUGCGAAUGAGAUAGUCUACUCGUAAUGUAAGGAGCACGUUCAUGCAUGAGUAAACAGAGAUUUUCCUUGCUAAAGUAAAGUACAUUUAUACACUUAAGUUAAUGUAAAUUUAAACUAUUCGGUAUCAUUACAAUAAUAACUUGCAUUUUUUUAAAAAGUAUAAAUUUAUGAGCAAAGACCAAUAUCAAUUAUAAUUAAAUUCUUUGAAGCGUAAAAGUUUAAUAUAAAAUUACAAGAUUAUAAAGCUCUGUAUAAAUUUUUUUUAAUGUUAUAGAAUGUUAUACUCUUUUUAUAAAUGGAUAGAAAUUUGUUCUCAAGUAAUAAAGAAAUGUCUUUUUAUAU